GACGAACGCUGGCGGCGUGCCUAAUACAUGCAAGUAGAACGCUGAGGAGAGGAGCUUGCUCUUCUUGGAUGAGUUGCGAACGGGUGAGUAACGCGUAGGUAACCUGCCUUGUAGCGGGGGAUAACUAUUGGAAACGAUAGCUAAUACCGCAUAACAAUGGAUGACACAUGUCAUUUAUUUGAAAGGGGCAAUUGCUCCACUACAAGAUGGACCUGCGUUGUAUUAGCUAGUAGGUGAGGUAAUGGCUCACCUAGGCGACGAUACAUAGCCGACCUGAGAGGGUGAUCGGCCACACUGGGACUGAGACACGGCCCAGACUCCUACGGGAGGCAGCAGUAGGGAAUCUUCGGCAAUGGGGGCAACCCUGACCGAGCAACGCCGCGUGAGUGAAGAAGGUUUUCGGAUCGUAAAGCUCUGUUGUAAGUCAAGA
rnacentral:rRNA from 1 species